rfam:Felis catus isolate Cinnamon breed Abyssinian chromosome A3, whole genome shotgun sequence.
GCCUGGGUGGCUCAGUCAGUUGAGCGUCUGACUUUGGCUCAGAUCAUGAUCUCACAGCUCUUGAGUUCAAGCCCCGCAUCGGGCU